rnacentral:rRNA from 1 species
UACGUAGGUGGCAAGCGUUGUCCGGAUUUAUUGGGUUUAAAGGGUGCGUAGGCGGUCCUAUAAGUCAGUGGUGAAAUACGGCAGCUCAACUGUCGAGGUGCCAUUGAUACUGUAGGACUUGAGUACAGACGAGGUAGGCGGAAUUGACGGUGUAGCGGUGAAAUUCGUAGAUAUUCGCAAGAACACCAGUGGCGAAGGCGGCUCACUGGCCCGAUACUGACGCUGAGGCACGAAAGCGUGGGGAGCAAACAGG